rnacentral:rRNA from 1 species
GAUGAACGCUGGCGGCGUGCCUAAUACAUGCAAGUCGAGCGGACGGACGAGACGCUUGCUUCUCUGCUGUUAGCGACGGACGGGGGAGUAACACGUGGAUAACCUACCUAUAAGACUGGGAUAACUUCGGGAAACCGGAUAUACUACCGGAUGAUAUUGUGAACCGCAUGGUUCAAAAGAGCACAACGUUCUUGCUGUCACUUAUACAUGUUUCCGCGCUGCAUGAGCUAGUUGGUAGGGUAACGCCUUACCAAGGCGACGAUGCGUGACCGGCCUGAGAGGAUGAGCAGCCACAGUGAAACUGGGGCACGGUCCAGACUCCUACUGGAGGCAGGAGUGGGGAAUAUUGGACGAUGGGCGAAAGGCUGGUCCAGCCAUGCCGCGUGUGUGAAGAAGGUCUUCGGAUUGUAAAGCACUUUAAGUGGGGAGGAAGGGCAGUAAGUUAAUACCUUGCUGUUUUGACGUUACCAAAAGAAUAAGCACCGGCUAACUUCGUG